GACGGAGCCAAAGCUUUUUUGAAAAUAUGCCAUGACUUGGUCACAUUAACUACAAGCUGCAAGGCGUGUUGGUUUUCCCAAUCAUGCUGAACUUGACGAAAUAGAAAACAAAUGGGGUGUGACUUGAUGAAGGUUUUUAAAUACAAUAUGUAUCAGUUCAAGCUUUCAGAAUUGUUUGAGUUGAUUUGCCAGGUACAUGAUGAAUAAAUCAAAGGGGUGGAUUAUCAGGCUGGAAAGAUCUGGCCGAGACAAGGAGAUGGUCCACCACUUCAAUUACACGCUGGAACCCGUCCUCUUUUUCCUGCUAGCAUACGUUAAACCCAUGUGAAUUGCCUCUUGUUCAAUAUUCUGUUUGAAUUAUAGCAAUCUCUCUAUGUAUGGACCAUGGAGUUGUUAAUUUAUUCCGAAUUCCAAUUUCUAGAAAGGAGCUUCCACUCGUCGGGUCACCGAUCCCGUGGUGGAUUUGGCAGUUUACUCACUCUUCAAGCAUCUCUUCAUAAAUUUUGCCAAGAUGGAAGCCAACUUGUAGUUCAAUACAACGAAAUAAAUUGAAGAAAGUCUGAGAACUUCAGAAUUGUUAGCAUCUCCAUCCAAAAGGCAGCACGCCCCUUGUGGUUAGAAAGAGAGUAGUUUCCAAGUAAAUGAAGAUUUGUGUGCCUGAUUGAAAUAAACUCAUACAGGAACGAAUGAUUCAUGCUCUCAAUGCUUGAAGGUCAUACUUCGUAACAUUCCGCAUGCAAACAAUAUCAUAUGACAACAAUUUGGUUCCAUGGCCAAGAUAAAUAACAGGGUUCCAUAAGAUCAAAACUUCUAGCAACCAAAUUGUAGCUCGAGGAUACAAGUUUCAUACCAUGAGCUCAA